rfam:Gossypium raimondii chromosome 10, whole genome shotgun sequence.
AACCCAUAAUGAGAGUACAUUUUCAAUAAAUCCUUGUAUAUCUCCCAUGCAUCAUACAAUGUUUCUAAAUCAAUCUGGGUAAAUGAAGAAAUAUCAAUCCUCAACUU